rnacentral:lncRNA from 1 species
UUUGGAUGCAAAACAUUGCAAAAAUAUGGAGAAACAAAAAAUUUGAAAACACAUCGUCUUUGCAAAUAUUUUGCAGAUCAGAAAUAUAAUGUAUUUAGAGUAGAAACUGUAAGUUAAAUAAUCUUGACCAAAUGACCAUCCGUGUUUUUUUUGAUAACAUCAGUGGACACCAACUGUGAGAGAAGCACUUAACCUUAUCAUUUAAAUGCUUGUUUAAACAAACAAUUUCCUGGUUUCAGUGCUGAAUAUCAAGAAAAAUCCGGGCUGUUCUAUAAAGUACAUUUUACUAGCAAUUGUGUUUCCAUGUAACUAUGUGUUUUUUUGUAUAUAUGUAUCUUUUAUUCUCCAUUUCAUUCAAAACUGCAUUGAGAUAAAAUAUUGAAGUGAUUUAAUUACUAGAUACGUUAUACAAAUACGUUUUCUCAGAAUUAUUUGCAACUAAUAACUGAUUAGUUUCCUUUCUAAAGUUAAUUGAACAUGGGGAAUCUAAACCAUCUCUUUUAGUUAAGAGUUCUCUAUGUGUUUGUCCAUCAGGGGAGAUAACCACGACAUUCUUUGAUUCACAUCCUACAACAUACACAUUACCAUCAUUGUCAGCUGAUAUUCCAAAUGGAUGACUCAAAACCUUUACAUUUUUGAAUGUCCAUUGUGUUGUACCUUGCAGAUCGCAGCAUACUACUGUAUGAUACUUAUAACUGGAAUAAUAAAAUUUGUUUCCAGAUAUUGUUAUGUUCAUUAAUGUGUCCAUGUUCUCAGUAGUUAUAUCACGUAUUGAUUCGUCAGUCAGAUCCAUGGCUCGAAUUGCCUUGUUGAAUAGGUGAUAUAGAAGUGUUGUAUUGGUAACUGCUAUUCCUUGGGUUUGUCCCCCCGUUGAAAAAGUUUUCUUUACUUUUCGUGUAAAUAAAUCGAUUAUUGUUAUUUUGUUGCCAAUGCGACUCCAAAAGGAUGAUAUCGCUAUAGUGUUAUCUUUAUCGUUGUACGCUAUACCAUUUGCUGCUGUUACAUUCAGAACAAAGUCAACCGUCCCGUCUUGUUUAACUACAGUAACUUUGUCUAAAUCAGGAUAGGUGAAUACAAACCUACUAUCAGGCAACAUGCAACAUCCUCUAAUAUAAGAUGAUUCGGUUUUUAUAGUCUGUUCUAACUUGGCUUGUAUAUUCUCAAUGGGCACAAUUGAUGAUACUUUAGGUACUAUCAACUGAGCUUCUUGUUGUUUUUUCUUCACAAUGUUCACUGAGCUAUUAGAGGUGUCAAUAAAUACUUUUCCAAACUCAAGAACACUAUUUGCAAUGUCAGUAAGUGAUGUAUUAAUGUUAAACUUGAUCUUCACACGAUUAAGAACAUUACUUUCAGUAAGUGAAUCAAUAAACUGACAGUUUUCAUCAACAUCACCUUCAAGCUGCUUCAGAGAUAGGAAGGUCUGUAGAUCUGAUGCGUGUUGUUUUAUGUUUGCUAUGUUCUCUUGGUGUUCUGCAACUUUACUUUCAUGUUCAUCUAAAGCUUUCAUUAACUGAUGGAUUUUUGUUUUUUCUCUUCUUUCUGUCUCAUGCAAUUCCGAUAUGAAGUCCUCUUGCAGUUUAUCGAGAUGUUGAUUGAUAUUUAACCGAACCUGUUGAAUUUCACAUUCAAUCUGUUUUCUUUUUUCGGACAAUGUUUUCAGAUUAACAUUUUUAUCUUGACGGAUCCUUUUUAUAUUUUCAGCAACUUCAUUUAAUGUUUCACAAAUUUCAAAAAAAGCGUUUGAAGCCUUUGUGUUUUUUACAACAUCAUCAAGAUUGGAAAUAUUUUGACAUUUUGUAUGCUUUUCAACGAUGCACUUACUACAACACGCACAUUCAUGUUCAUUGCAGUAAAUCUGAUAAUUUUCAUUAUGUGUACUACAUGUCUGCUUAAUGUUUGUAAUGUAAGUAGGUAAUGCAUUAUAUUCUGAUAUCGGUAUAGUUACAUGCUUUCUUGUUGCUUUGGAAAUUCCAUGAUGCUUACUGCAGUCUAUACAAAGGCCCUCAUCACAAUCAGAACACCAUAUGGAUGCAGUUUUAAAGACAUUUUGAAAUUCACAUACACCGCACGAAGGUACAGAGCUUGCCAUCAUCU